rnacentral:tRNA from 1 species
GCCUUCGAGGUUUAGUGGUCAGCACACUCGGUGCGUAUUCGAGAGGUCCGUGGUUCGAGUCCCGGCGAGAGUA